GCCGGGAUAGCUCAGUUGGUAGAGCAGGGGACU
rnacentral:tRNA from 15 species